rnacentral:rRNA from 1 species
UACGUAGGUGGCAAGCGUUGUCCGGAGUUAUUGGGCGUAAAGCGCGCGCAGGCGGUGCGGUAAGUCUCUGGUGAAAGCGCUCGGCUUAACUGGGCGAGGGCCGGGGAGACUGCCACGCUGGAGGGGAGCAGAGGCGAGUGGAAUUCCGGGUGUAGUGGUGAAAUGCGUAGAGAUCCGGAGGAACACCAGUGGCGAAGGCGGCUCGCUGGGCUCUACCUGACGCUGAGGCGCCGAAAGCGUGGGGAGCGAACCGG